CUAUCUGAUUCAUGGGACUUAAAAUGUGUUCAUGCUCAGAUUGUUGCAGGCUGGUAAUUACCAGGGUUAAGGUCUGUUAUUUGUCAUUUGCUUGUUUUGCUUUUCAUUAGCACAGACUUGCCGGCAAAUAUCACCAUUAUAGAAACAUUCUGGCCAGCCUAUCCGUUAGCAUGCCUCGUGGCAGGGCAGUGCUUCACUGGCAGACACCUGAGUGUGUGACAGAGUGACUUCAGCAGCUUAACUGCACUUUCAUGCUCCAUUGCUGUUUUCACAUACCUAUGGAUUUCAUCACUUUUUUCUCAAGGGCGUGUGUCAAAAAUAGGUCCCAGUCAGGAAGCCAUGCCCCACCAGAGUACAGUGCCGACAAAAAUCAUGCCAUCCUUUGGGCCAUAAGAACAAGGAAAGGGAGCCCCUAAAGCUUGAAAAAUGAUGAAAGCAGGCAAGAAGCCCAUAAGAAGAUCCCAGGUUCUGUGUAUGAACUCUCGCAAGUUCCAGAUGAACCUCUGACCUACACGUGCCCGGGUCAGAUUCAAAGCAGUGUGGCGAAGGCUUGGAGAACUCAACUGAUGUUGCUUCUCGCCAACAUAAAAGGCAACACAGAACUUCCAGGGUGAGACUAACAGUGUUGAUUACUUUCUGAAACAAAAGCCACAAUAUUCUGCAGAAGUUUACACCUGAACCCAGGAUGUGUAUGAUGUGUGUACAAGAUCAACAUCAAAACCACUCCCCUUUGAAAAACCAGGAAAAUAUAGCUGUGGAGGAGACAGAGACUAAAAGUCUGGCUUUAGUUGCUGUUCCUGGAAUGCAAGAGAAGAGUUUAGAAAAAAGGCUUCAAGGCAAAGAGACCUCUUCCACCAAUUGAACGUGACCUUGCCUUCAAAAUAGUCUUCAUACUUGGGUGUACUUUUUUCCCAGACAUCUCUAACUCCAAAGUUACAGUCUUCCAGCCCAGCCUGUGAGAGGAUGAGGGACUGUUUUGUGGACAAUGACCCACCCAGGGCCGGACAGAUGGACGGACGUGAGGAAGGAGCAUGGACAUGGCCUCUCAGCCUCAGCUCUGUUUUCUUAGAGGUUUCUCAUUUUUAUAUCAGUUUCAAAGAUCCAACAGACUCUCUGAUUUUCAUAACCAAAAGAGGGCAGUCGCCCAUGAAGAAGUCUUUUCAAGAAUCAUCAGAAAGUUACCAAACAGAUCUUACACAGAAUAUGCAUAUACAUUUUGCAAACUACAUUAUGAAAAUUACAUUACGAAGUCACAGUAUUGCUUAAGAAAGAGUUUUAGCAGUAAAUUUCUUAAGCAUUAUAACUGAGAAGAAUGAAAUUGUUCAACAGCUACACUAGAAUUUAUGGCCUUAUAAAUAAAACACUUAAGGUCUGCAUUUAUAUAAUUAUUUAAUGAAUUUCUCCUUGUUUUAUGUGUGGCUCCAAGGCAAAUAGUCUAAUUUAGGUAAAAUCAUGACUUUAGGUUCAAAGCAGACCGUAAAAGAUCACUCAGUAAACCUUUCAACUCAGUGGCUCAUUGACAAUAGUGACAGCUUUUGCAAUUAGUUUAGGUUCUUUGUUUCUUGAGGCGACUGCAAAACCUACAGCCAUGUAUUCACUUUUCAGUGAAAUUGGUACACAUCAUAAAAAUUGUAGUUGAGUUAAUUGGUGCAUUGGCUGACAGAUUCAGCAGAGAGGCCAAGCACUGAGCCUUCCCGUUAUUGCUUAAACUGCUCUGUUGUAACUGUGCUGGCUGGGAUCGUUGAGAAGACUGUGCUUCCCGGAGCCUCAUCUAAGGCACAAAUUGAGGACUUUGGUAUCUAGGGAUGUCAGUCUGACACUUUUCAUAAGCAUCCGAUGCUCCAAAUUACAAAAAAUAAAAACAUAUGCUCUACAUGAACGUAUUUUAUAAAUACCAAGUAAUGACAUGACUUUGCUCAGAAAUGUGUAACAGGAAACUUUCCGAUAUCUGGAUGGGUAAAAAGUCAAGGAUGAUAUAAAGUCUAUCCAUUUUUAAAGUUCUUGUGUCCUAAUGUUUGUUUUAGCCUCUAUUUUAAAAUUCAAGACGUUUGACUCUUUUUUCCUCACUUAACCCCAAAGACCUUGUCAUCCAUUCAGUGGAAAUAA